AAAUGCAGCUGAAGGGAUGGUCACUGAAGACACCCUCAAACCAUCGUUAAAGGAGUCCUAAGACCCUGCCAUUUUCAUUUGGGAAGAUCCUGAGUACCGCAAUCCAGCCUUGGAGACUACAACUCCCAUGAUGCCUUGGGGAAGAGAGAGAGAGAGAGAGAUUUCCACUUCCAGAGGAUGCCCGGAGAGCGUGUGGUGGGCUAUACCUUGGAGGGGAGCUGGGAUUUUGGUCAGGGGAACAUAGAUUGCUUUGUGGAGCUAAGUCCAAGCCAGAAACUGCUGCUGAGAGAACUGCUGGGGCUUUGACCAAGCAGGGAGCCAUGGAGACGAUUGCUGGGCUUCCCUGCAGCCAGGGCAGUGACUGUUGCUGAGUUCAGAGCUGACAGAGGUGGGCCUGCAGUGAAGCCAGUGUGUGUAACUUUCACCUUUGUUGUUUGGAGAAGUGCUUGCAAGGGAAGGGGCAUAGCAAAGAGACGUUAAGGGGUUGCCUGAGACUGAGAAGAGACGCAGUGGUCUUAUCAUCUAACCAGAAUCCAGGGUGACUGACCUCUGGUUAUAACAACUCCCGCCUUCAGAGGGGCUAUGCAGCUUGGAAGGAUCCCAAGUUAGGAUUGCUCUGUCCUUGGUUACCUUGGCUGGACAGACAGAAUGCUGUCCCAGGCUUCAAGAUCUUCACCCGUGCCCACUCAAGCACGCGUCCAGAACUCUGACAUUCACAGGACUGCACACCCAGGGGAGAGGUAACGGGUGACAGUGUAGAUGUAAAUUGGUGACGUUUCAUUUACUACUGUAAACUGCAUGUAUUAAUUGAUGUAUUGAAGUGUCUCCUGCUGAUUUAAUUGAUUGUGAUUUUUUAAUUAAUCUCAAUCUAUUAUAUCAUCUUUCUUAAAUUGUGAAGUAAAGGUGUGUUACCUCUAA